rnacentral:rRNA from 1 species
GAUGAACGCUAGCGGCAGGCUUAAUACAUGCAAGUCGAACGGUAAGUUUGGGUAGCAAUAUCAAACCGAAGAGUGACGUACGGGUGCGUAACACGUAUGCAACCUACCUUGUACAGGGGUAGUAGCGUCGGGGAAACUCGAAUUAACACCCAUAAUAUGUUUGGUGUGGCAUCACACUAACAUUAAAACUCCGGUGGUACAAGAUGGGCAUGCGUCUGAUUAGUUAGUUGGGCGGGGAAUGGCCCACCAAGACGAUGAUCAGUA